CAGGUUUCCAUGGCACUGCAAACAAGAGAACAAGAGACGGGAGAGAGCCCAGAGCUGAGCCGAGCUGCGGCCACAUCACAUCCAUGACCACAUCCACAUCCAUGACCACGGCUCCCCCGCGGAGAGGAGCCCUGAGGAGCUCUCCUUUGGGAACCAUAGCAAAGGCUACAAAAAGAGACAGGAUUCAGCGAAACCAAAAACUAACAUUCAACAGUUUGCCAGCCUAAAAUCAAACACGACAGAGUUCCCUGCAACAUGUCUGUGCAGUCCAACAGCCGUUCAACCUUAUUGCAAGAAACCCGCAGUGAUGAAGCAGUUCCUGGUAAGAGCUCCAGGGAGCACGAAUGUUGCUUGUGAACCAACAAUAGAAGAAUGAAAAAGUAUGGGUGUGUAUCAGACCUGGAGAUGUGGGUGGAAGAACAGACAAGGGUCUUGAGUUGCUUGUUAUCUCCAAAUUGGAUUGUCUUUGCUUUCCCAUCAGUGUAUGUCUAAGGGGGACUGUGUUUUACACAGCUUUCACAUAAGCCAGGGAUGAACAUCUCCCUUUUGGGGUCAGAACACAAAUAUUUUCCAGUUGACUGAAGCCUUCUGUUAAUUCCUACAGACACAAAAGGCUCAGUGGUUAAGAUCCAGAAAGCCCCUAGGCCCAUCAGUCUGUAAA
rnacentral:lncRNA from 1 species